rnacentral:rRNA from 1 species
CGCGUGAGGGAUGAAGGUUCUAUGGAUCGUAAACCUCUUUUAUAAGGGAAUAAAGUGCGGGACGUGUCCCGUUUUGUAUGUACCUUAUGAAUAAGGAUCGGCUAACUCCGUGCCAGCAGCCGCGGUAAUACGGAGGAUCCGAGCGUUAUCCGGAUUUAUUGGGUUUAAAGGGUGCGUAGGCGGCCUUUUAAGUCAGCGGUGAAAGUCUGUGGCUCAACCAUAGAAUUGCCGUUGAAACUGGGAGGCUUGAGUAUGUUUGAGGCAGGCGGAAUGCGUGGUGUAGCGGUGAAAUGCUUAGAUAUCACGCAGAACCCCGAUUGCGAAGGCAGCCUGCCAAGCCAUGACUGACGCUGAUGCACGAAAGCGUGGGGAUCAAACAGGAUUAGAUACCCUGGUAGUCCACGCAGUAAACGAUGAUCACUAGCUGUUUGCGA